UGGCUCAGGACGAACGCUGGCGGCGUGCCUAACACAUGCAAGUCGAGCGAGGAGAUCCUUCGGGAUGAUCCUAGCGGCGGACGGGUGAGUAACACGUGGGCAACCUGCCUCAUAGAGAGGAAUAGCCUUCCGAAAGGGAGAUUAAUACCUCAUAACAUUGCAGUUUCGCAUGGAACAGCAAUUAAAGGAGUAAUCCGCUAUGAGAUGGGCCCGCGGCGCAUUAGCUAGUUGGUGAGGUAAUGGCUCACCAAGGCGACGAUGCGUAGCCGACCUGAGAGGGUGAUCGGCCACAUUGGGACUGAGACACGGCCCAGACUCCUACGGGAGGCAGCAGUGGGGAAUAUUGCACAAUGGGGGAAACCCUGAUGCAAGCAACGCCGCGUGAGUGAUGACGGCCUUCGGGUUGUAAAGCUCUGUCUUCAGGGACGAUAAUGACGGUACCUGAGGAGGAAGCCACGGCUAACUACGUGCCAGCAGCCGC
rnacentral:rRNA from 1 species